CCUACGGGAGGCAGCAGUGGGGAAUCUUGCGCAAUGCUCGUAAGAGUGACGCAGCGACGCCGCGUGAAUGACGAAGGCCUUCGGGUCGUAAAGCUCUUUCGACAGGGAAGAAAAUGCCUAUAAGUAACUGUGUAUGUAUUGACGGUACCUGUAUAAGCAGCCCCGGCUAACUCCGUGCCAGCAGCCGCGGUAAUACGGAGGGGGCGAGCGUUGUUCGGAGUGACUGGGCGUAAAGAGCACGUAGGCGGUGUUGUAAGUCAUUAGUCAAAGCCUAGGGCUCAACUUUAGUAAGGCUAGUGAUACUAUAAUACUAGAGUAUGAGAGAGGAUUGCAGAAUUCCUGGUGUAGCGGUGAAAUGCGUAGAUAGCAGGAGGAAUACCGUUAGCGAAGGCGGCAAUCUGGCUGGAAACUGACGCUGAGGUGCGAAAGCGUGGGUAGCAAACAGGAUUAGAUACCCGAGUAGUC
rnacentral:rRNA from 1 species